CUACGGGAUGCUGCAGUGGGGAAUAUUGCGCAAUGGGCGAAAGCCUGACGCAGCAACGCCGCGUGAGUGAUGAAGGCCUUCGGGUCGUAAAGCUCUGUCGGGAGGGAAGAACACCUUCGGGUCUGACGGUACCUCCCGAGGAAGCACAGGCUAACUCCGUGCCAGCAGCCGCGGUAAUACGGAGUGUGCAAGCGUUGUUCGGAAUUACUGGGCGUAAAGCGCGCGUAGGCGGCUUGAUAAGUCAGAUGUGAAAUCCCUCGGCUUAACCGAGGAACUGCAUUUGAAACUGUCAGGCUUGAGUACGGGAGGGGGAAGCGGAAUUCCCAGUGUAGAGGUGAAAUUCGUAGAUAUUGGGAGGAACACCAGCGGCGAAGGCGGCUCCCUGGACCGAUACUGACGCUGAGGCGCGAAAGCGUGGGGAGCAAACAGGAUUAGAUACCCUGGUAGUC
rnacentral:rRNA from 1 species